rnacentral:rRNA from 1 species
GGCUCACCAAGGCGACGAUGCGUAGCCGACCUGAGAGGGUGAUCGGCCACACUGGGACUGAGACACGGCCCAGACUCCUACGGGAGGCAGCAGUAGGGAAUCUUCCGCAAUGGACGAAAGUCUGACGGAGCAACGCCGCGUGAGUGAUGAAGGUUUUCGGAUCGUAAAACUCUGUUGUCGGGGAAGAACAAGUAUGAUAGUAACUGAUCGUACCUUGACGGUACCCGACCAGAAAGCCACGGCUAACUACGUGCCAGCAGCCGCGGUAAUACGUAGGUGGCAAGCGUUGUCCGGAAUUAUUGGGCGUAAAGCGCUCGCAGGCGGUUCUUUAAGUCUGAUGUGAAAUCUUGCAGCUCAACUGCAAACGUGCAUUGGAAACUGGAGGACUUGAGUGCAGAAGAGGAGAGUGGAAUUCCACGUGUAGCGGUGAAAUGCGUAGAGAUGUGGAGGAACACCAGUGGCGAAGGCGACUCUCUGGUCUGUAACUGACGCUGAGGAGCGAAAGCGUGGGGAGCGAACAGGAUUAGAUACCCUGGUAGUCCACGCCGUAAACGAUGAGUGCUAGGUGUUAGGGGGUUUCCGCCCCUUAGUGCUGAAGUUAACGCAUUAAGCACUCCG